rnacentral:rRNA from 1 species
GACGAACGCUGGCGGCGUGCUUAACACAUGCAAGUCGAACGGAAAGGCCCUGCUUUUGUGGGGUGCUCGAGUGGCGAACGGGUGAGUAACACGUGAGUAACCUGCCCUUGACUUUGGGAUAACUUCAGGAAACUGGGGCUAAUACCGGAUAGGAGCUCCUGCUGCAUGGUGGGGGUUGGAAAGUUUCGGCGGGUGGGGAUGGACUCGCGGCUUAUCAGCUUGUUGGUGGGGUAGUGGCUUACCAAGGCUUUGACGGGUAGCCGGCCUGGGAGGGUGACCGGCCACAUUGGGACUGAGGUACGGCCCAGACUCCUACGGGAGGCAGCAGUGGGGAAUAUUGCACAAUGGGCGGAAGCCUGAUGCAGCAACGCCGCGUGCGGGAUGACGGCCUUCGGGUUGUAAACCGCUUUCGCCUGUGACGAAGCGUGAGUGACGGUAAUGGGUAAAGAAGCACCGGCUAACUACGUG